GUAUCUGGGCGAGCUGAUCCAGCCAUGCCGCGUGAUGAAGAAGGCCUUCGGGUUGUAAAGUUCUUUUAGUUGGAAAGAAAAAAUUAUGAUGAAUAAUCAUAAUUCAUGACGGUACCGACAGAAAAAGCACCGGCUAACUACGUGCCAGCAGCCGCGGUAAUA
rnacentral:rRNA from 1 species